rnacentral:tRNA from 2 species
GGAAGAAUGGCAGAGCGGUUGAAUGCACCGGUCUUGAAAACCGGCGUGGAUGCGAGUCCACCCUGAGUUCGAAUCUCAGUUCUUCCGCCA